UACGUAGGGUGCAAGCGUUGUCCGGAAUUAUUGGGCGUAAAGAGCUCGUAGGUGGCGGGUCACGUCGGGUGUGAAAGCCCGGGGCUUAACCCCGGGUCUGCAUUCGAUACGGGUCUGCUGGGGUCCGGCAGGGGAGACUGGAAUUCCUGGUGUAGCGGUGAAAUGCGCAGAUAUCAGGAGGAACACCGGUGGCGAAGGCGGGUCUCUGGGCCGGUACCGACGCUGAGGAGCGAAAAGCGUGGGGGAGCGAACAGG
rnacentral:rRNA from 1 species